UCCUCACAAGCUCUCUCUCUGGCUGGAGACGAAAACAAAAACAAAAAAAAGAGAAAAAGAGAAAAAGAUGAUAUUUCCUCUUCUUCGAGAGGCACUCUUCUUCUUCUGCAGAAAAGAAGAAGACGGUUCUUCUCCUUCUUCACAUCCAAACCACCGCAGCUCACCUCACUUUCAUCUCCGUCAACUGUCACACUUCUCAUACUCCACAC
rnacentral:lncRNA from 1 species